CACUUGUUCUCCAAAUAAGGACUUGUAUGAAUGGCCACACGAGGGUUUUACUGUCUCUUACUUCCAAUCAGUGAAAUUAACCUUCCCGUGAAGAGGCGGGAAUAAAAAAAUAAGACGAGAAGACCCUAUGGAGCUUUAAUUAACUAUUCCAAAAGUUAAACAACUCAACCACAAAGGGAUAAAACAUAACUUAACAUGGACUAGCAAUUUCGGUUGGGGUGACCUCGGAGUACAAAAAACCCUCCGAGUGAUUUUAAUCUAGACAAACCAGUCAAAAUAACCAUAACAUCACUUAUUGAUCCAAAAUUUUGAUCAACGGAACAAGUUACCCUAGGGAUAACAGCGCAAUCCUGUUCUAGAGUUCCUAUCGACAAUAGGGUUUACGACCUCGAUGUUGGAUCAGGACACCCAAAUGGUGCAACCGCUAUUAAAGGUUCGUUUGUUCAACGAUAAAGUCCU
rnacentral:rRNA from 1 species